rnacentral:lncRNA from 10 species
CCAAAGUGCUGGGAUUACAGGCGUGAGCCACCGCUCCCGGCCGACUGUGGUGCUUUUUUAAGGCGGCCCUAACAGACUAACACAGUAGUGAUCUUCACUUUACAGAUGAAGGAACUGCGGCUUGGGGAGAUACCAUAACGGCCCCCCGGUUCCGAGACAGGUGGAGAGGCAGAACCAUGGGCCAGGACAGAAUAGGAUGAGUACAAGGUGGCAUCUCUGGGGGUGCCUGCCCCACAGAUCCAUGGUCUUCCCAUGCUGGUGUCCCCACAAUGUCUGGCACUGCUCCCCGCUUCACCUUACUUGCCCAGGCCUACCCCCAUACCCUCAGCUCACAGCUACACACUCUGCACAGCUCCCACCCCAGGGUCUUUGUGCUCACAGUUCCCCUGCAGAUACCCAAACCACACUCUUCCCCCAGUUCCUGCAGGUCUUUACUGAAGUCUCGGGCAGGCAACUCAUUUAAAGUUUCAGUUUAGCCCAGCACGGUGGCACACACCUGUAAUCCCAGCUACUUAGGAGGCUGAGGUGUGAGCGUCGCUUGAGCCCAGGAGUUUGAGGCUGUAGUAAGCCAUGAUUGCACGACUGCACUCCAGCGUGUGCGACACAGCGAGCCCCCAUCUUGAAAGAAAGAAAAAAGAAAUUAAAAAGGAGGCUGGGCACUUUGGCUCACACCUGUAAUCCCAGCACUUUGAGAGGCCAAGGUGGGCAGAUCACUUGAGUUCGAGACCAGCCUGACCAGCAUGGUGAAACCCCAUCUCUACUAAAUAUACAAAAAUUAGCUGGACAUGGUGGCGGAUGCCUGUAAUCCCAGCUAUUCGGGAGGCUAAGGCAGGAGAAUUGCUUGAACCUGGGAUGCGGAGGUUGCAGUGAGCUGAGAUCGUACCACUGCACCCCAGCCUGGGUAACAGAGCUAGAUUGUAUCUCAAAAAAAAAAAAAAAAAAAAAAAAAGGAAGGAAGGAGGAAGGAAAGAAGGAGGGAGGAAGAAGGAAGGAAGGAACUCUCUUUUUCUCUAUGGCAAUGAGCACGUACCAUCUGGCAUGCUGUGUGCUAGGAUUGGUUCUUGCCUGUCUCCAUCAGAAUGGGAGCUUCAGGAAGGCAGGGACCUUCCUUCUCUUGCCCACUACUGUACUCUGAUGCCCAGGCCAGGCAGGCAUUUGAGCCAAGAAUGACAGUGCUGGUGCUUCCCAAGCCCCCAUCUAUUUGGGCCAACCCCUUGAUGCAAGGCCCUUGUGCUAAUAGAGGGUAUAGGGGUCCAAAGCCAGUGCCUUCUAGAAGAGCUUUGGACGUGACACCAGGAAUGGCUGGGCCUGGACAAUGGCCUUCCUGGCACUGCCCAGCCAGUCCUCUGUGCUUGUUGCCAGAUGCACCUGAUCCCUGAGUCCCCAGCAUGGGUCUCUUUCUCCCAGGCAGAUGGGGAACUCACCUUCUUCUCAGAUGCCCCUUCCCAACAUAAGCUGCUUCUGCCCUCUGGCCCCGAGAUGGCCAAGGUGAGCUGUGUAGACAUAGAGUCUGGAGGCAUGGGGCUGGCUAACGUGGAGGCAAUUCUAUGAACAGACAUGGCCAGGCCAGGAAUGCGGCAUGGCCUCAGGUCUCAUCCUUGAAGGCCUGGGCUCCUGGUCUGCCUGCAGACUUCCUGAGACCACGUCUUGUUCUCAUCUGCCAGCAGAUGCCUGGCUCAUGGGUGAGCCGGGCUUAGGUGGAAACACAGGAGCCCAGAGGGGAAAGGAUCCUCCCCCAGCUUGGGCUGGAGUCCCAACUUCCAAUCAUCAAUCUUUGCAACCCUGGGGCUGGACCUGGCUAGUUCCAUGGUAAGGAUCCUUCUCCGUCACCCAGUCAGUCCCAGGCUGUGUGGGAAACUGGCUGUGGUGGGCAGGUCUGAGGUCUCAAGUCUGACAGGGGCCACUGGAGCCUCCAACUCACCAAUCAACCAAGUGUGAGAGGUUGCUUUGGUUGAAUGGCCAUGUGCUGGGGUCUGACUGGCCCAGCCACAGGGAGGCUGGCAUCCCCUAGCUGAGUCCUGGACCCAGACCCUCCAGGGCAUGGAGCCCAUUGUGAGGUGUCUGGUGCUGAAGUGGUGGGGGAGGCCCGUGCAGGCCUACAGCUUUGUCAUCUGCAACAUUCCUCUCCCCACUUUCUUUAAACUUUUUCAUUUAGAAAUGAUUUCAAUGGCCAGGCGUGGUGGCUCAUGCCUGUAAUCCCAGCACUUUGGGAGGCUGAGGCGGGUGGAUAACCUGAGGUCAGGAGUUCGCGACCAGCCUGACCAAAAUGGAGAAACCUUGUCUCUACGAAAAAUACAAAAUUAGCUGGGCAUGGUGGCACAUGCAUGUAAUCCCAGCACUUUGGGAGGCUGAGGCAGGUAGAUAACCUGAGGUCAGGAGUUCGCGACCAGCCUGACCAAAAUGGAGAAACCUUGUCUCUACAAAAAAUACAAAAUUAGCUGAGCAUGGUGGCACCUGCCUGUAAUCCCAGCGACUUGGGAGGCCGAGGCAGGAGAAUCACUUGAACCCGGGAGGCAGAGGUUGCAGUGAGCCGAGAUCAUGCCAUUGUCCUCCAGCCUGGGUGACGAGAGUGAGACUCCGUCUCAAAAAAAAAAAAAAAAAAAUGAAACCUCGUCUCUACAAAAUAUACAAAAAUUAGCUGGGCAUGGUGGCAGGUGCCUGUAAUCCCAGCUACUUGGGAGGCUAAGGCAGGAGACUCGCUUGAACCCAGGAGGCAGAGGUUGCGGUGAGCCAAGAUGGCACCACUGCACUCUAGCCUGGUGACACGGCAAGACUCCAUCUCAAAAAAAAAAAUUUUUUUUUCAAUUUACUAAAGGAUUUAAAAAGUAGAACAAAAAAUUCUAGUGUCUUUCACCCAGUUACCCCAAAUGUGAAUGCCGCACCCAAUCACAGAAAAAUGAUUACAACCAGGAAAUUAACACUGAUAAUGUUAAAGAAAGAAUUACUGAAUGACAUUUGCUAAAGCACUGUAGGGAAGACUUUAUUCAGGACCGUCUUGCUAGGUCUAGGGACCACAGGAAUGAGAUUCUGCAGUGGGGGAGAGAGAUUAAGCUCAAGUCCGAAUGGGCAAGUGGGAACUGAUGAUAGCUGAGGAGCAGGGCGGUGGGAGCUGGGUCAGCACAUGGAAAAUGACUAAGAAGAAACACCCCGGGUGAGGGAGAUUCUGGCUACACCAAUUAACAGGAUUUUUGCUGAAGACAGGCCACAGUGACCGGACAUCUUCACCUGGGGGACAGUGUAGGAACGGAUUAGAUAAGGAGGGUGAUCAGAUGUCGAGGGUCAGGGGAUGCUUCUUGCUAAAGUGACUUUGCAGGGUUCUUGCUCUAAGUGAAAUUUACAAGGAAGUGCACAGAUGGGCCUAGAAGAAGGUUCAGAAGCCUGGUUUGGCCAAGCAAAGAAUCUUUGUCGGUCCCUCCUCUUGUUCAAGGAAAGAAGAGGUUAUCUUUCCUUGAAUAGUACGAGUCCAUUUCCUUGCUGGGCUGCCUUUUGUUCAUUAAAGGCCAGCUGAAUCAUCUGCUGGGACCGGCAGUAGAGGAGAUAUCCUCCAUGGUGUGAGCCAUCAGGCGUUGCAUGUUGAAGAUAAAAGAAAAAGAUAUUAGUUGGAACCAACUAUAAACUCAGUUUCUGAGUUCAGAGGGCAGCUACUCAAGAUUUCCAGGUGCUGUGCUUGAAGCAUCUUCAGAUGGAGUAGGGGCUAACAGACUAUCAUGGACGGCAGUUUGCGUGUCAUGAAGUCUGCCCACAAAUUAUCUGUUGUGGUGCCAUCUUAAAGUUUCUUUCUUUUUUUUUUUAGACAGAGUCUUGCUGUUGUUGCCCAGGCUGGAGUGCAGUGGCGCAAUCUCAGCUCACUGCAACCUCUGCCUCCCAGGUUCAAGCGAUUCUCUUGCCUCAGCCUCCAGAGUAGCUGGGACUACAGGCACACACCACCAUGCCCAGCUAAUUUUUGUAAUUUUUGUAGAGACGGAGUUUCACCAUGUUGGCCAGGAUGAUCUCAAUCUCUUGACCUCGUGACCUGCCCACGUUGGCCUCCCAAAGUGUUGGGAUUACAGGCGUGAGCCACCGUGCCUGGCCUAAAGUUUCUAUCAAGUUGUCCGGGUUCAGCUUAAAGGGCUUCAGGAAAUGGGAAGUUUUAAUUUUUAGCGGUUCCAGGCCAGAAGGGUGGGAAAAAAACUGGAAACAUCAGUUUAGAGAAAAUCAAAUAUUGGAGGAAACUAGAAGAAUUCAGGAUCCAAUCCAGUUUGUAGGUAAAUAUCAAAACCUCAAAAACAAUGAACAGGGCUAGAAUCUGAUAAUGGGUGCACUAUAGUUUUCUUCUGAAACUAAUUUUUCUCUAUAUAGUCACCCCACUUCUAUCAAAGAUGUUGAAGUAAGACUAAUUUGUUUGUAGCUAAGUUUAGGUUGAUUAAACUUGGCCUAAUUACUUACAUAAGUGCCGCAACAAUAGUGAUUGAACACAUAGGCUUUCUUUAAGUUUCCUUUGCUAGGACUUUUUUUUUUUUUUUUUUUUUUUUGUCACGGAGUCUCGCUCUGUCGCCCAGGCUGGAGUGCAGUGGCGUGAUCUCCGCUCACUGCAAGCUCCGCCUCCCAGGUUCACUCCAUUCCCCUGCCUCAGCCUCCCAAGUAGCUGGGACUACAGGCACCCGUCACUAUGCCCGGCUAAUUUUUUUUUGUAUUUUUUUUAAUAGAGAUGGGGUUUCACCGUGUUAGCCAGGAUGGUCUUGAUCUCCUGACUUCGUGAUCCGCCCGCCUCGGCCUCCCAAAGUGCUGGCAUUACAGGCGUGAGCCACCGUGCCCAGCCUGCUAGGACUUUUAAUAAGGCAUCUCAGAUUGGGCUUUUAAAAGCCUUGCCAGGCUAGGAAGCCAAGCCGAAGCUUCACCAUCAUACUUCAUUUGCAAUCAUUAUAGGUUUGGGUGAAUUCCUCUCUUUUUGAGGUCCCCCAAAAUAUCCUGACAUCCUUGGGCCUGUCAGGAAGUGACUUUCCUUACUCACCUACAAGGCAACCACAUGACCCAUGUAUUCAAGGUUUAAAACCCAUUUUUCCCCAAGGGCUUUAUUGGUUCCAUAAAGUCAUCUUAGUUACUUAAAGUUGUCUGGCCAUAGCUAAAAAUAUGGCAUUCUAGUCAAAGCUUUGGUAAUAUAAACAGCAUUUCCAAUUGUGUCCUGUUACAAAGAGAACAGGUUCUUACUGAACUUAUGUAAAUAACCAUAUUGCCAUUAAAAUAAAAAUACUCAUGAAUAGUUUCCGAAUUAUGGAAGGAUAAGGUACAGAGAAAAAGUAAUUGUUUCACUUUUGUUUACAAAGGCAUACUUUACCAAACUGCUGUAAGCUAUGGAUAACUUAAAAGAGAAAAAAAAGUUUCCUUAAAUCUGGAAAACAAAACAUUAAAGAACCAGCAAUGUUUCAAACAAAACAUAAAAAAAUUAUCCUGGCUGGGUACAGUGGCUCACACCUGUAAUGCUUAGGGAGGCUGAGAUGGGAGGAUCAUUUGAGGCCAAGAGUUUGAAACCAGCCUGGUCAACAUAGUGAGACCCUAUCUCUACAAUAAAAUUAAAUAAAUAAAUAAUUGUAAUUGGUUUAUUCAUUGCCAUGUAAUUUAUUCUUGUUCUGUUUGAUCUUGAUCAGCAGUUUCACGAACCCCUCAGUGUCUUCAUUCAAGUUCUGGAAAUUCUGGCCAGGUGUGGUGGCUCACGCCUGUAAUCCCAGCA